UGAGGCGUGAUGACGAGGCACUACGGUGCUGAAGCGACAAAUGCCCUGCUUCCAGGAAAAGCCUCUAAGCAUCAGGUAACAUCAAAUCGUACCCCAAACCGACACAGGUGGUCAGGUAGAGAAUACCAAGGCGCUUGAGAGAACUCGGGUGAAGGAACUAGGCAAAAUGGUGCCGUAACUUCGGGAGAAGGCACGCUGAUAUGUAGGUGAAGCGACUUGCUCGUGGAGCUGAAAUCAGUCGAAGAUACCAGCUGGCUGCAACUGUUUAUUAAAAACACAGCACUGUGCAAACACGAAAGUGGACGUAUACGGUGUGACGCCUGCCCGGUGCCGGAAGGUUAAUUGAUGGGGUUAGCGGUAACGCGAAGCUCUUGAUCGAAGCCCCGGUAAACGGCGGCCGUAACUAUAACGGUCCUAAGGUAGCGAAAUUCCUUGUCGGGUAAGUUCCGACCUGCACGAAUGGCGUAAUGAUGGCCAGGCUGUCUCCACCCGAGACUCAGUGAAAUUGAACUCGCUGUGAAGAUGCAGUGUACCCGCGGCAAGACGGAAAGACCCCGUGAACCUUUACUAUAGCUUGACACUGAACAUUGAGCCUUGAUGUGUAGGAUAGGUGGGAGGCUUUGAAGUGUGGACGCCAGUCUGCAUGGAGCCGACCUUGAAAUACCACCCUUUAAUGUUUGAUGUUCUAACGUGGGCCCCUUACCGGGGUUGCGGACAGUGUCUGGUGGGUAGUUUGACUGGGGCGGUCUCCUCCUAAAGAGUAACGGAGGAGCACGAAGGUUGGCUAAUCCUGGUCGGACAUCAGGAGGUUAGUGCAAUGGCAUAAGCCAGCUUGACUGCGAGCGUGACGGCGCGAGCAGGUGCGAAAGCAGGUCAUAGUGAUCCGGUGGUUCUGAAUGGAAGGGCCAUCGCUCAACGGAUAAAAGGUACUCCGGGGAUAACAGGCUGAUACCGCCCAAGAGUUCAUAUCGACGGCGGUGUUUGGCACCUCGAUGUCGGCUCAUCACAUCCUGGGGCUGAAGUAGGUCCCAAGGGUAUGGCUGUUCGCCAUUUAAAGUGGUACGCGAGCUGGGUUUAGAACGUCGUGAGACAGUUCGGUCCCUAUCUGCCGUGGGCGCUGGAGAACUGAGGGGGGCUGCUCCUAGUACGAGAGGACCGGAGUGGACGCAUCACUGGUGUUCGGGUUGUCAUGCCAAUGGCACUGCCCGGUAGCUAAAUGCGGAAGAGAUAAGUGCUGAAAGCAUCUAAGCACGAAACUUGCCCCGAGAUGAGUUCUCCCUGACUCCUUGAGAGUCCUGAAGGAACGUUGAAGACGACGACGUUGAUAGGCCGGGUGUGUAAGCGCAGCGAUGCGUUGAGCUAACCGGUACUAAUGAACCGUGAGGCUUAACCUU
rnacentral:rRNA from 1 species